GGGGGUAUGGCUCAGUUGGUAGAGCGCCUCGUUCGCAACGAGGAGGCCAGCGGUUCGAAUCCGCUUAUCUCCACCA
rnacentral:tRNA from 1 species